rnacentral:misc_RNA from 1 species
CAAAAAAAAAAAACAUUCAUAUUUAUCAAUGAUUGGAAAAAAUUGGAAAAAAAAUUGCAAUUAACGUUGCAUUCUAAAUGUUCUGCAGAAGUAUAUAUCGAUGACGAGUCAUGUUUUAAUGAGGUUUCAAAGGCUAGCAUUAAUCGAUAACAAAUUUAACUGCUCUCGACCCUCGAAGACAGCGGUUAUCUAAAUGAUAAAUAUUUUCAGUCGCUCGUUAAAAGAGGUUUUGCAAUACCAAUGAAACGACUGAAUCAUUUGAACAGCAAUGAAUAUCAUUGGCCACAAUAAACUUUAUGGUUUUAAUCCAAUUUGAGAACUAAAAACACAUUUAUGAAUAUUAAAAUAAUUUGAACAAUUUGAAAAGUUUCAUUUGAUAGAAGAAUAAGUAUAUUUUAAUAGAAAUAAUAUAAAUGCACCAAUAUAACAAUACAAAUAAUUAAAUAAUCUCAAUAAAUCACGAAAAGAAAAAAAAAUUCAAUGAAAGAAUCUGAUUAAAAGCGACGUUUGAAUGUCGAUAAAGCGGAUAAUGCGCAACUUUUUAAGCCUUUAAUUUUUUACUACUCGGUCGAUAAAGCAAAUCGCGACGUAGUGGACAACGAGGUCAGAGCGAGACUACACCCGUAACGAUCCCGUGUUUGAAUUCAAGGUUUUCGCGGAAACGAAGUAUGAAAGAUGCUAGUAAUCGUUUGGAAUCGUGAUCAUCCGUGUCGUCGUUGUCUUUCAUCGUCGUACCAAAAGCAAACGUAUGGCAACCUCGUCAACCUCGAUACGCCUUCGCCAAUGAUAAGAUAAAGCCUAGUCUACAGGUAUGCGCAGGUAUGCGCGAGUAGGCGCCAUCGUGUGACCGCCCACGGAGAAGGUAUAUUUCUGCAUCCGUACGUGGGCAAACGAUGCGAUUAUGACGCUUAACUUUUAUUAUAAAAUUUAAUAUUGAAAAUACAAUGACGGAAUUCAUAUAUGCAUGUAAUCUAUUACAAUAUAUCUAUGUGAUUAAAGUACAAACACAUAUACAUUCACAUAUACAAAAGAUAACGUAUACAAUGCAAACAUUAAUACACAGCAAUGGAACUAUAUGCACUGAUGCACGUGUGGCGCUCUCCCAGUUAGCAUCUCAGACAAGAUUUAAUCAAUCGUUUGAACAAAAUAAGUAUCAUAGACGACAGCCUGUCUCGCCAAGAACCCUUGAAAGAUACCUCUAUGUUCAAGUAACAGACAAGGAUAGCGGAAAGAACCGUCUAAUGCGUUUUUUGCAAAGAAUUAUGAUCGUAACACCCUUUUCUUUCACAUUCGCAUUCUCACGUGGCUUUUGCCGCAUAAGUAAGGUAGGUAAGGGCCAUAUGAGUAGUACAGUACAUAGAAUUCAAAGGUGAGGUGUCGCAAGUCAAGGCAGUGGUAAAUAGAAGCACACUUAUCUCGCUCACUCUUACUCUCAAUCCGUUAAUUCUAUCCUUUGUCGUAUGCACAUACACAUACACACAGAACAAGUACAAGUGCGUGAAAAGAGAGCAAGGAAAGCGAAGGCUACAGAUCUCAAGCAAACGAACAUGGAGGAGAAAGAGGGAAAGAGAAUGGUCGGCGUACAUCAUUUGGGCGCCGAGAAGUCUGGCGCGACCAGGCCAAGCCAGGCCAGGCCAGAGGCGCGUCUCUGGUUACGCGACCAUUUGGGGCGCCAAGCAUGGAGCGCCGAGGAGGUGAAAGGAGCGGGAGGAAGGACUGAUAGAAGGGAAAACCAUAGGAGAGCAAAGAAGAACAGAGAAGAGGACUCCAGAGGGACUAGUAGAGACGAAGGUAGGCGUUCGAGCAUCGUUGUGUCGAGCUUUGAACUGUAGAACGUAUAGGGCGGCAUUGUGGAAGGAGAAAGAGGGGAAAUCAACGAAGGGGCCCCAGCAGGCUACAUUCCAGCGGGACGCGAGUUUUCAAACAUGGCUACCCACGUGAAUGUAGGUCCACGACCGAUCGUAUAACACGCACACAUGUUCGACCUUACAAACUACAAGAUCUCCUCUUUCUUUCUCUUUCUUAUUCUUGUUUCUCUUCGUUUCGCAUGUAUAAUCUGUUCGGAACGAUUCCCUCUCAUAACGUGCUCCUUCCCCUAAUGCCUGCUCCGUCACACGCUUAUACUGACACUAACCCACAGAAUCCCCUUGCCCCUUUGCACCAUCGGGUUGUUCGUUUCCCCUCUCCCCUCACAGCAAUCCGGACGGCCCGUCCGACCGAGCUGGCGACACCCUGUCUGGCAAGACCGGCCGACGGACAAAGGAGGGGGAGCCUGGCCGCUGCGUUGCCACGUCCUCGGACUUCGAGCUGCACCUACCUUCGGCCUCAAGGACAAAUCCGAUGAACGUGUCAGCCGUCGUGGCGUACUUAGGCGACUGCCGGUCUGCUACUGCUAUGCCUGUUACCGAUAUUCAUGAUCGCUCGUUCUUUUUAAUGAACGGACAGAGUUUGAUUACGAUUAAAUAAAGAAUUUGAUUGCAAAAAGUU